rnacentral:lncRNA from 1 species
UCACUGCUAAACAAAGAAAGGGGUGGCAAGGAAUGAAAUGACAGGGAUUCUUCUCUCCAGCUUCCCAGACUUCCAAGCAGACACACCUUCCAUUCCUGACAUGUAAUUAUUUUUUAAAUAAGAGGAAAAUCUGAAAGUGAUUGACAGAUGAAGACCUCCUCUUCCCCUUUACCAUGGACACAUAUCUCCAAGUUUCAUUGCUCUGUGCAACACACAUGAGGUGCUUGGAGAAAUCUGGAUUGGUUUAGACCCCAGCAUAUUUGCAGGAAGAAAAUCUGAGGAGAAUAAAAUGUGACCAAGGUAAUAUCAUCAAGGCUCAGAGUUCAGACAGCUCCUGGCAAGCAAAGCAGAUUAUGUCCAGGAACUAUAAGAAGUGUGAAUGGGACUCUCAGAUAGGAUUUUAGCCCACUCAGCUUUCUGCCACUUACACGUGCAGCUGCAUGAAGAGGGAACUCCUUCACGAACUCCCAAGUAUUGCCAGCCAACUCCACUUCAAACGGAUCUGUCUUUCCUCUCCAUUGCACCUGAAAGGAAAACACCUUUGGGAGACUUAAGUAAGACUGAUAAUUUGGGAUGUUUACACAUUCAGGUGCUAACCUCCUCCGGGCAGGAGGAUUUGAUGAAGAUGAUCUCCUACAGUUCUUGCAGGAGCAGUGCUAGCUCAAUGCGCUGA